rnacentral:tRNA from 1 species
GCCCAGGUGGAGAAAUUGGUAGACUUACUGCCUUGAGGUGGCAGCGCCGUAAGGCAUGCAGGUUCGAGUCCUGUCCUGGGCA